rnacentral:rRNA from 1 species
GAUGAACGCUGGCGGCGUGCCUAACACAUGCAAGUCGAACGGACUUAAAUUGAAACCUAGUGAAGUUUAAGUUAGUGGCGGACGGGUGAGUAACGCGUGGAUAACCUGCCGUAUGCAGGGGGAUACCAACUGGAAACAGUUGCUAAUACCGCAUAAGCGCACAGUACCGCAUGGUAUAGUGUGAAAAGAUUUAUCGGCAUACGAUGGAUCCGCGUCCGAUUAGCCAGUUGGCGGGGUAGAAGCCCACCAAAGCGACGAUCGGUAGCCGGCCUGAGAGGGCGGACGGCCACAUUGGGACUGAGACACGGCCCAA